rnacentral:rRNA from 1 species
AGAGUUUGAUCCUGGCUCAGGAUGAACGCUGGCGGCGUGCUUAACACAUGCAAGUCGAACGGGAUCCCUGGCAGCUUGCUGCCGGGGUGAGAGUGGCGAACGGGUGAGUAAUGCGUGACCGACCUGCCCCAUGCACCGGAAUAGCUCCUGGAAACGGGUGGUAAUGCCGGAUGUUCCACAUGAGCGCAUGCGAGUGUGGGAAAGGCUUUUGCGGCAUGGGAUGGGGUCGCGUCCUAUCAGCUUGUUGGUGGGGUAACGGCCUACCAAGGCGUUGACGGGUAGCCGGCCUGAGAGGGCGACCGGCCACAUUGGGACUGAGAUACGGCCCAGACUCCUACGGGAGGCAGCAGUGGGGAAUAUUGCACAAUGGGCGCAAGCCUGAUGCAGCGACGCCGCGUGCGGGAUGGAGGCCUUCGGGUUGUAAACCGCUUUUGUUCAAGGGCAAGGCACGGUUUCGGCCGUGUUGAGUGGAUUGUUCGAAUAAGCACCGGCUAACUACGUGCCAGCAGCCGCGGUAAUACGUAGGGUGCAAGCGUUAUCCGGAUUUAUUGGGCGUAAAGGGCUCGUAGGCGGUUCGUCGCGUCCGGUGUGAAAGUCCAUCGCUUAACGGUGGAUCCGCGCCGGGUACGGGCGGGCUUGAGUGCGGUAGGGGAGACUGGAAUUCCCGGUGUAACGGUGGAAUGUGUAGAUAUCGGGAAGAACACCAAUGGCGAAGGCAGGUCUCUGGGCCGUUACUGACGCUGAGGAGCG